rnacentral:rRNA from 1 species
UACGGGGGGGGCAAGCGUUGUUCGGAAUUACUGGGCGUAAAGGGCUCGUAGGCGGCCAACUAAGUCAGACGUGAAAUCCCCAGGCUUAACCUGGGAACUGCGUCUGAUACUGGAUGGCUUGAAUUCGGGAGAGGGAUGCAGAAUUCCAGGUGUAGCGGUGAAAUGCGCAGAUAUCAGGAAGAACACCAAUGGCGAAAGCAGCUUUCUGGGACGGUACUGACGCUGAGACGCGAAAGCGUGGGGAGCGAACAGG